UGUAAAAUCUUGGUUAAAACUUGAAAACCAGUAAAAUUGAUCAAACUCGCAUAAAAAUAGGUCAACUCAUAAAUUUCACGUGAAAUUUAAACAAAUGCUCCUGUGCUGACUCAACACUUCCUUUUCCCAGUCCACCCCCACCCGUCGUGACCGACACUCCACUCCAGUGACUCCACACUUCGUCCUUGUCUCCCUAACUCCUUUCCCCUUUUUCCUUUUCCCUUUUCCCAGCAAAUUAAGAAAUCACUUUCCCCAGAUCUAGAGCAUUCUUGGCGUUGGUGAGACGAAGAGUCUGCAUAGACAACGAAGCAUACCAAGAUUGCACUUUUGUCAAGCUCGACAUGACAUGCAGGCAAUUUACUGAUACGAGCUUUUCUCAAGCCUGUUCCAUGACUGUGUUAGGUAAUGAGAGUCCUUCAUAAGUUGGUGCAAAUCUGCUCAAUGUGUAUGUAUGGGUCAAUGAGGGAGUUUCUUCCCAUUCUAGUACAGUGGUUAAAAAAUUUAUAUUCAGUUAAUUCUUGUAACAUGUCUAAAAGUGAUGGUCUGGUUGCAAAGUAAGGCCUGAAGCUAUCUUUUUCUAUAUAUCAAUUAGUUUUAGAUUUUUGAA